GCAGCCUCGUAGCGUUGGUGUCUACCGGAUCAGCUCGUCGUCGAAGUAUCGCAAGGUCUCCGUGCGAGUUUCCGCGGUGAAAAACUGAACAUGAACUCCGGACGUCAACUGUUCAGCGUGAGCCGGAAUGUUCUGCACCAGAAUGUGAUAAGGCGGAACAAGGGAGGCAGCGGGGAGGAGAUAAGGAAAGGCCUAGAGAAAAUAACCUCUCUCGAGGCCCCCAAUAAGGACGGAAUCCGCGUUGCGAGAGGCAUCCUCGGGAUUGUCAUGGGAUACUUGGUCCUCCGCACCGCAUGGCUGAAUUAUCAUGUCUUUCCCCUGACCGAAGACCCCGACGAUGGCUAGGCGUUCCUGUCUGCAACGAAAGGGCCGGAGUAUGUGAAGAUUCGACCGCCUGGGAGAAAAUGGCGAAUCGAGAAGAAUAAAAUAGUUA